rnacentral:rRNA from 1 species
UGGGGAAUUUUGGACAAUGGGCGAAAGCCUGAUCCAGCAAUGCCGCGUGUGUGAAGAAGGCCUUCGGGUUGUAAAGCACUUUUGUCCGGAAAGAAAUCCUUGGCUCUAAUACAGUCGGGGGAUGACGGUACCGGAAGAAUAAGCACCGGCUAACUACGUGCCAGCAGCCGCGGUAAUACGUAGGGUGCAAGCGUUAAUCGGAAUUACUGGGCGUAAAGCGUGCGCAGGCGGUUUGCUAAGACCGAUGUGAAAUCCCCGGGCUCAACCUGGGAACUGCAUUGGUGACUGGCAGGCUAGAGUAUGGCAGAGGGGGGUAGAAUUCCACGUGUAGCAGUGAAAUGCGUAGAGAUGUGGAGGAAUACCGAUGGCGAAGGCAGCCCCCUGGGCCAAUACUGACGCUCAUGCACGAAAGCGUGGGGAGCAAACAGGAUUAGAUACCCUGGUAGUCCACGCCCUAAACGAUGUCAACUAGUUGUUGGGGAUUCAUUUCCUUAGUAACGUAGCUAACGCGUGAAGUUGACCGCCUGGGGAGUACGGUCGAAGAUUAAAACUUAAAGGAAUUGACGGGGUCAUAGCUGUUUCCU